GCUCAUUCCUUCUAUUCUUCUCUAUAUACGUUGGUGUUCUAACCAAUAAUCACCGAUGCGAUAUUCUGUCCGAUCGAUUCGGGAACCAACUAACGAAUGGCAAAUUGCUGUCUAAAUAAGACUAUACUUUGUGAAUUUCGUUCUGAAACGAAUGCCAAAGUGCUGUCUAAAUAAGACUAUACUUUGUGAAUUUCAUUCUGAAACGAAUGCCAAAGUGUUGUCUAAAUAAGACUAUACUUUGUGAAUUUCGUUAAGGUUCUGAUCUCGUGACCAUCGUUAGGUUUGAUUGGGUUUAACACUAAUACGUAUUCCACUCUGUUAAACUAAAUGUUUAACUACCAGAAAACUCUGCACCCUACACUUACAAUCAAACAAGAUAACUAAUCAUCAGAAGAUUCAGAACUAUAAAGUAGAUGCUUAAUUAUCAGAAGGCAUAGAAUCAGGAGGCUUGUUUAAUCAAAGACUAUAUGCUAACAAGUUAUACUUUGCAGUGAUUAAGUCUUUGCUAAUCUUUAAUUACUGGCAGUAUGUGGGGGUUUUGUGCACAUUACUACUAACGAUUUAUCACUUUAGGUGGGCGAGCCUAAUUAGUGAUAUGUCCACAGUCAUAGAUCCGGUCGAGUGACAGAUGAACCAGCUAAUUAUAAGAUAGAGGCAAAUAUAAAAACCCUUAACACUGUAAGUUAUAAAAAACAUGUUUUUGUACAAAAAAUGAAUGAACUCACCAGUAUUUCCUGCUGACCAAAUGUUUUUAAACGCGUUUCAGGUGAUUACAGUAGAUUGGAAUAAGAGUUGUGACACGACACCGAACGGCUUAAAGAAGUGACUUAUUUUCUCAAAUGAGUUAAAUGUUAUUUUUAUAUAUUCGGGUUUAUCUCAUCUGUUUAAUAAAUAAAAUCCGGUGUUU
rnacentral:lncRNA from 1 species